rnacentral:rRNA from 1 species
GACGAACGCUGGCGGCGUGCUUAACACAUGCAAGUCGAACGGAAAGGCCCUGCUUGCAGGGUGCUCGAGUGGCGAACGGGUGAGUAACACGUGGGUGAUCUGCCCCUUACUUUGGGAUAAGCCUGGGAAACUGGGUCUAAUACUGGAUAGGGCCAUGCUUUAGGUGGUGGGGUGGAAAGAGUAGUUUCGGUAAGGUAUGAGCUCGCGGCCUAUCAGCUUGUUGGUGGGGUAUUGGCCUACCAAGGCGUCGACGGGUAGCCGGCCUGAGAGGGUGGGCGGCCACAUUGGGACUGAGAUACGGCCCAGCAUCCUACGAGAGGCAGCAGUGGGGAAUAUUGCGCAAUGGGCGCAAGCCUGAUGCAGCGACGCCGCGUGGGGGAUGACGGCCUUCGGGUUGUAAACUCCUUUCAGCCAUGACGAAGCCCUUGUGGUGACGGUAGUGGUAGAAGAAGCACCGGCUAACUACGUG